UACGGAGGAUGCAAGCGUUAUCCGGAAUUAUUGGGCGUAAAGCGUCCGCAGGUGGCACUUCAAGUCUGUCGUCAAAGACCGGGGCUUAACCCUGGAAAGGCGAUGGAAACUGAAAGGCUAGAGAGAGGUAGGGGUAGAGGGAAUUCCCAGUGUAGCGGUGAAAUGCGUAGAGAUCGGAAAGAACACCAACGGCGAAAGCACUCUGCUGGGCCGACACUGACACUGAGAGACGAAAGCUAGGGGAGCGAAUGGG
rnacentral:rRNA from 1 species